AUUGAACGCUGGCGGCAUGCUUUACACAUGCAAGUCGAACGGCAGCGCGGGCUUCGGCCUGGCGGCGAGUGGCGAACGGGUGAGUAAUGCGUCGGAACGUGCCCAGUAGUGGGGGAUAGCCCGGCGAAAGCCGGAUUAAUACCGCAUACGACCUGAGGGUGAAAGCGGGGGACCGAAAGGCCUCGCGCUAUUGGAGCGGCCGAUGUCGGAUUAGCUAGUUGGUGGGGUAAAGGCUUACCAAGGCGACGAUCCGUAGCUGGUCUGAGAGGACGACCAGCCACCCUGGGACUGAGACACGGCCCAGACUCCUACGGGAGGCAGCAGUGGGGAAUUUUGGACAAUGGGGGCAACCCUGAUCCAGCCAUGCCGCGUGCGGGAAGAAGGCCUUCGGGUUGUAAACCGCUUUUGUUCGGGAAGAAAUCCUCUGGGCUAAUACCCCGGGGGGAUGACGGUACCGGAAGAAUAAGCACCGGCUAACUACGUG
rnacentral:rRNA from 1 species